GGAGAGAUGGCCGAGUCGGCUGAAGGCGCUCGCCUGCUAAGCGAGUGUGGGGUCAAAAGCUCCACCGAGGGUUCGAAUCCCUCUCUCUCCGCCA
rnacentral:tRNA from 1 species